CAGCAGCCACGGGAAUACGAAGGGGGCUAGCGUUGCUCGGAAUGACUGGGCGUAAAGGGCGCGUAGGCGGAUUGCGCAGUCAGAUGUGAAAUUCCUGGGCUUAACCUGGGGGCUGCAUUUGAGACGCGUAGUCUAGAGUGUGAAAGAGGGUCGUGGAAUUCCCAGUGUAGAGGUGAAAUUCGUAGAUAUUGGGAAGAACACCGGUGGCGAAGGCGGCGACCUGGUUCAUAACUGACGCUGAGGCGCGAAAGCGUGGGGAGCAAACAGGAUUAGAUACCCCGGUAGUCCCUGUCUAUUAUAC
rnacentral:rRNA from 1 species